AUAACAGAUGCAUGGACUGACAUAAGAGGAAGAGGGGUAAUGAAUCUUGUAGUUCAUAGUGCUCAUGGGGUGGUGUUUCUUAAUUCUGUGGACUGUUCAGCCGUGAAGAAAGAUGGGAAGUACAUCUUUGAGCUUGUUGAUAGAUGCAUAGAAGAGGUUGGUGAGAAGCAUGUAGUUCAAGUUGUGACUGAUAAUGCAAGUGUUAAUCAAGCGGCAUCAACCUUGUUGAAAGCAAAGCGCCCCACCAUAUUUUGGAAUGGUUGUGCUGCCCAUUCUAUUGAUCUGAUGUUUGAGGAUAUUGGCAAGCUUAAAACAGUGGACUCUACUAUUACACAAGCUAGAGCUGUCACUGUUUUCCUUUAUGCACACACUAGAGUUUUGUCUCUAAUGAGGGAAUUCCUUGGAAAAGAUCUGGUGAGGUCUGGCAUUACAAGAUUUGCUGCAGCUUACUUGAACUUGAAAAGCAUGCUGGACAACAAGAAAGAACUGCAGAAGCUAUUCAGAUCGGAUCAGAUGGAUGAAAUGGGUUACUUAAAAAAGGUGAAAGGACGUGAUUCAAACCGAAGUGUGCGCUCUGAAAAUUUUUGGACAGGAGUAGAACGUGCUAUCAACUUCUUUGAGCCUUUG
rnacentral:rRNA from 1 species